rnacentral:sRNA from 1 species
AUACUAAUAGAAUUUUUUUAUACGGGAAAAUUGUCAAAAAAAUCACGAACUUUCAAAUUUGGGACGAUUUAAUCUUGAACUUCACGGAAGACAAAUAAAUCGUAAAGUUUUUGUUGACUUUCGAAAUAAAUGACAAAGCUUUUGUUGACUUCCCAUUUGAGUCAUGUCGUUAAAUAGGUUAACAGAAUUAUUUUACGGCGUUAAUGUCUCGUGUAUAUGCUCUGUUAGAACAAAACGACGUCGUUUAUUGAGAGACAAAAGAACGUCGUUUUGUCUGUUAAAACAAAUUUAAACCCUGAAUCUCCAAUUCGAUUUUAUUAUCUGCGAUUUUGAGGUCAAGGUGGGUCUGUGAUUUCGAGAUAAUGAAAUCGAUUUGGGGAUAUAAGGUUUAAAUUUGUUUCAAGACAAAACGACGUUGUUUGGUCUGUGCAAUAAACGACGUUGUUUUGUUCUAACAGAGCAAAUAAACGAGUCAUUAACGUUGUAAUUUU